rnacentral:rRNA from 1 species
UCUUGGUCAUUUAGAGGAAGUAAAAGUCGUAACAAGGUUUCCGUAGGUGAACCUGCGGAAGGAUCAUUAAAAUUAAAUUACCACAAUGUUUUUGAAACAACACCAAAUUAAUUUUCUUUUUUCAAUCGUUUUUAUAAUAAAAACUUUCAACAACGGAUCUCUUGGUUCUCGCAUCGAUGAAGAACGCAGCGAAUUGCGAUACGUAAUAUGACUUGCAGACGUGAAUCAUUGAAUCUUUGAACGCACAUUGCGCCUUGAGGUAUUCCUCAAGGCAUGCCUGUUUGAGCGUCGGCUCCUUUCAAACCCUAGGGUUUGGCUUUGCCUCCGAAAUAUUAGGAUCUAAUGCAAUACGUUUCAUUAAUCCAAAUUCUUCGCCCUCAAAUCAGGUAAGACUACCCGCUGAACUUAAGCAUAUCAAUAAGCGGAGGAA